UGACGUAAUUUAUGGACAGCCCCUUAGUAUUAAAGGACGACAGUGGCAGUAUAGAAGCAUCCAUCAGCGAGGCUUUGGUUUACUUGUGGUGUUGAAAGUAGAGUCUCUCCAGCCCUCCCCGCCGCCGCCGGCGCCGCCAUGUCGCCGCUCGUUCGCUCGCUACUCGCUACUCGCGCUCGCUGCGCUGGUCGCCGCCGACGACGCCCAAGGGUAUAACUGCACCAGGAAAGAUGUCGGUCCAGUAACAGAUCAUCCUGUUAUACUACCCGACAUUGAUAUAUUUUCCCCGGGGGAAGUGGUUUUGCCUAAACAUGGUAUGUGCCCGUAUGCCGCGCAGCCGGUUGGUGAAAGGAUAGUGUGUUGCAACAAUUACCCAGGCUAUUCUCAUCCCGACAUCGUGGGACCAUAUUAUCCACCUUCAUUGUCACCAUUCAAUGUUAUCCAGCAUGGUCAUGGAGGAUGUAAGUGUAGAAUCACCGUGUAUUGUCCCAAUUAAUAAUAACAUUUUAAACUUUCGCGUUUUAACACAUUAAAUCAUACUUUUAGCGGGUCUAUCCCGGAAUUAUUUUGUUUACUCUUAUUUUAUUAAAUUUAUUUCGUUUUACAAAUAACUGGAUUGAGCUUUAUAAUUGGGAAGAUGGUUUUAACAUUUUCAUUGACAUUUUUGAUCGAUUCGUCUCACAAAUCUCCGUUUAGAGAUUUAACUAGACUAUAAUUUGUUCGCGACCACGACCAUUGUACUCUGCGUCAAAAUGUCCGAAAUAAAAGCUAACGAAAUAAAUUUGAAAAUAGACAAAGUAAAUAUUUGUACAAAAUAAAAUUUAGACCCAUGAAAAUUAUGAAUUAAUACUGUGGCUAUUGACAGACAGGCACUACUAAUAUUCGCUCAUGAAUUACUUUCUUUGAUAUCUUUUUGAAAAUGUAACGUUUACCUACUGCUGUGAUAGGCUGUGAUUCUUCAUCUUAGUUUCACAAAAUAUGUUUACCUAUUGUCAUAUUUGACAUAACGUUUGAUUUUUUCUAAAUUCUAGUUUUAUUUUCUGUAUAGUGCGCAUUUAAUAAUAUGUUAAAUAUUAGAUAUUGAGCACUUUUACUUCAUGUUUUAAAUAAAGAUAUAAUUG